GCCGGUGUGAUGGAAUUGGUAGACGUGACGGACUCAAAAUCCGUUGGUAGCGAUACCGUGUGGGUUCGAGUCCCACCAUCGGUACCA
rnacentral:tRNA from 1 species